rnacentral:rRNA from 1 species
AUGAACUUCAAGGCGAGGAACGUUGCCACAGGGUCAGAGCAAAUCUUCUUUUCUGAGUUGAUGGCAGAAAUGGAUAAUAACGACAAUGCCUCCAAUGGAUAUUAUCGCGUCAGUGCAUGCGACAUUGUUGAUGAUAACUGUGCUGGUGGCCGUAAACAAGAAGUUGAGUGUAAGUACAUCCCAGGAUAUAAGAAUGACAUAGAAAAUUGCUAUGUAUGUGCUGAGAAAAUCAAGCACCCUGUCGGAAGUACAUACAAAGGAGGCCAUUCUGUUUCGGACUAUGGUGUGGAAGAAAAUUCUACCGAAUGA